GAUGAACGCUGGCGGCGUGCCUAAUACAAGCAAGUCGAGCGAAUGGAUUAAGAGCUUGCUCUUAUGAAGUUAGCGGCGGACGGGUGAGUAACACGUGGGUAACCUGCCCAUAAGACUGGGAUAACUCCGGGAAACCGGGGCUAAUACCGGAUAACAUUUUGAACCGCAUGGUUCGAAAUUGAAAGGCGGCUUCGGCUGUCACUUAUGGAUGGACCCGCGUCGCAUUAGCUAGUUGGUGAGGUAACGGCUCACCAAGGCAACGAUGCGUAGCCGACCUGAGAGGGUGAUCGGCCACACGGGGACUGAGACACGGCCCAGACUCCUACGGGAGGCAGCAGUAGGGAAUCUUCCGCAAUGGACGAAAGUCUGACGGAGCAACGCCGCGUGAGUGAUGAAGGCUUUCGGGUCGUAAAACUCUGUUGUUAGGGAAGAACAAGUGCUAGUUGAAUAAGCUGACACCUUGACGGUACCUAACCAGAAAGCCACGGCUAACUACGUGCCAGCAGCCGCAGUAA
rnacentral:rRNA from 1 species